rnacentral:lncRNA from 1 species
UUGCCCUUUAUGCAAUUGUAUACCAGCUGUAUACAGCCACGUUUUACCCAGCAUUUUUUGUAUAUAUUCUGUAUAUCCGCAUAUAAAAAUCCAUGUACAAGCUUCCAGUGUCAUUAUGCAAUCAUACACCGGUGUAUACCGACUACCUCCGACCUGGGAACCUCGUAUAUCAGGAGUAUACCAAUUUAUACCAGUUUCGCUUCUUCAAAAAUAAAGACAUUUGGGACUUGUAGAGGAUGUAGGCCUCUUUGGCCUAUUGAGAAACGCAGGGAAUGGAGUCCGUUGGGACUCAAGUCAACGUCACAUGCAUUAAGAAAAAUAUAAGAAUUAGCGUGUAUUUAAAUAGUAUUACAAAUUAUACAACAAUAGGCGAAAACCAUUCAAACCAAGUGUCAGUAUUAAUUAGUAAGACAAUUGAAAUGGGAAUGUGAUAUGGCAGUAAAAAAGACUUAUCCCAACAUUAUACUAAUGCACCAUAAAAAAUGCUCACCAAGCCACCAACUAACAACUUUCCCAAUACAAAAACUUAAUAGAGGAAAAAUGCUUAAAUAAUGGCGGGACAUUAUAACGGUCCAAAUACGAUAUUCCCUAGUGAAUUUGCUGUCUAAAAAAUAUUAUAGGAAAUUAUUGACCUAGGCCAUUACUUAAUAAUUAGCUUCUUUCCUCCUAGCUCCAUAUUCAAAAUAUAGACCACAAAAUAUCCCAAAGAUUUGCAAGAAUAACUUGAGCAUCCUUUUAGUGCUCUGUCUUUUUCCUUCUCAUUAACAAUUAUUAUCAAAAUAGCAAUUUUUAAAAAUGGACAAGCAGACUUCUCUCGGAAAAGAUAUGGAUGUGUCGGCCUUUGACUAAACAUGCAAAACAAACCCAUGACCACUUCGUCAGCUAAAUCUAGAUACAAACAAUACCAACAAAGCAAAGGACAACGAUAAGCAUAAUACAAAGUGAAAGAUUAAAUUGUUAUGACCUAUAUGGCUGCAGGGAUCACAUAAUUACAACAACAAACCCUAAUAGAACACAUAUGGAUGCAAGCAUACUAAAUAUUGGAAAAGAACCAACUUGAUGACAGAGGCGGAUCCAGAAUUUCAAACUUGUGGAUUUCCAAGCCUUUUCUAUCACUAAGCUAUACCUUGGUUUAGUUAUGGGUUCCCACCUAUUAAUAUUUAUAAAUUUUGACGAUUUUUUUUAUGUAAUUUUAAGCCUUACUGUAGCAGGUGUAGGUUCUACUCUACAUCCGCCACUGCUUGAUGACAUCGUUUUCCAAAAUUUGAAAGCUGAAACAGUGACCUUAGGGGGCCUGAACAAGAAUCGUGAGAUCAAGAACAACAAGAAUAUCAUCGCUAAACAUUAUCCACAAUUUCAUCACAACAACCUAUAACUUUGGAAGGUGUCUCAUACUACGACUACUUAUGAAAAUAGAUAUUAACGCCAAGAAGGAGAAGAAGAAAAACUAAGAUGUGUUUACCUUUUCCCGGGCAGCGAACGGGACGACAAGCCUAUGACGAUGAAGUUUUCACCACCGAAUUUUAACUCGAUUUCACCAGAAUUUUGGGUGCAUGAGGUUAGAGACACGCGCCUCCAGAACCCCAAUUUUUCUCCAAAAAAUCCUCCUCUCCCUUCACUCUACAGACAUGGGUAAUUAUGGGGGAUUUGACACUGAUUUUGGAGGAAAACGGAGGGGUAAAAAGGAAAAAUGAAUUGAGAUUUGAAUUUCAAAAUUUGAGAUAGGUUUGACCUGGAAUUGGAACCUUGUUUGCUGUGUUGUUUUUGCCGUUGUUGUACUGUUAUUGCGUUUAAAUUGAGCUGUUGUUGUUGUCCGUCAUUAAUGUUGUUGUCAGUUGUUGCUGAGCUGGACGGGUCAGGUCGGAGCUGGUCGGCUGAAGCUGGGUUUUUGGUUGUUAUUCGUUGAAAUUGUCGUUGAUGAACGGGAAAAGUAUUUUGUCGCUGAUGAUACUGAGUUGUUGAUGUUGAAGACGUUGAAAUUGUUGGUGUUAACGUUGUUGUCUGUUGUUGUAGCUGUACGCUGAAUUGGAGUGUACAG